rnacentral:misc_RNA from 1 species
UCUCCGUUGGUGAACCAGCGGAGGGAUCAUUACAGGACUCGCAAGACUCCUUCACCCUGUGAACCUCACUACAAGCACGUUGCUUCGGCGGGUGUCCCGGCGGGGGUUUUCCCUCGCCGGGGCGCACAGCCCGCCGGCAGCCUACUAUACUCUGUCUCUUUGCGUUGGUAUCUCGAGAAAAAACAAACAAGUUAAAACUUUCAACAACGGAUCUCUUGGUUCUG